AUUGAACGCUGGCGGCAGGCCUAACACAUGCAAGUCGAGCGGAGCGGCGGACGGGUGAGUAAUGCCUAGGAAUCUGCCUGGGCGUGGGGGAUAACGUCCGGAAACGGGCGCUAAAACCGCACACUAUCAGAUUAGCCUAGGUCGGAUUAGCCAUGUGUUGGGGGAAAGGCCUACCAAGGCGACGAUCCGUAACUGGGCUGAGAGGAUGAUCAGUCACACUGGAACUGAGACACGGUCCAGACCCCUACGGGAGGCAGCAGUGGGGAAUAUUGGACAAUGGGCGAAAGCCUGAUCCAGCCAUGCCGCGUGUGUGAAGAAGGUCUUCGGAUUGUAAAGCACUUUAAGUUGGGAGGCGUUACCAGCAGAAGAAGCACCGGCUAACUUCGUGCCAGCAGCCGCGGUAAUAC
rnacentral:rRNA from 1 species